rnacentral:rRNA from 1 species
AACGAACGCUGGCGGCAGGCUUAACACAUGCAAGUCGAACGGGUGUAGCAAUACAACAGUGGCAGACGGGUGAGUAACACGUGGGACCCUUCCUAGAAGUACGGAAAAACGCAGGGAAACUUGCGCUAAUACCGUAUACGCUCGCGAGAGGCAAGUUUUAUCGCCUUUAGACGGGCUCGGGUCGGAUUGGCCAGUUGGUAAGGUAACGGCUUACAAAGGCGAGGAGCCGUAGCUGAUCUGAGAGGAUGAUCGGCCAAACUGGGACUGGGACACGGCCCAGACUCCUACGGGAGGCAGCAGUGGGGAAUCUUGGACAAUGGGCGCAAGCCUGAUCCAGCCAUGCCGGGUGAGUAAAGAAGGCCUUCGGGUUGUAAAGCUCUUUUACCAGGGACGAUAAUGACGGUACCUGGAGAAUAAGCCCCGGCAAACUUCGUGCCAGCCGCCGCGGUAA